CAAGACCUGAGCACGUUCUCCUAAAGCCAGGUCAGGCCUCUUGUCACAUACUCCAUUGACUCUAGUGCCUAACCCAUGCUCAUCACAGAGCUCACAUUGGAACCAUUGUUAAACAGACUCUAAUGGAAAUGACUUCGUUCAGCUGGUGAACAUUUUGGAAGAUUCCAGAAAAACAUGAACAAGUGUUUGAGUGCUCUUAAGGGGAUUGUCUAAUAUCUUGGCUCCUGACUCAUCCUUAGAAGUCUUCCAGCCACCUUGUACCCAUUUCAAGCCCAAGGGCUCUUUAACGUAAAUGAGUUACUGAGCAGAAAAGAACAGAGAAAGAUCCAGUGCAAAAACUCAUAGGAAAUGAUCAAUUCAUGCCAAGUGAUGAGAACUAGAGAAGAGAGAUGAGAGCAUUGUUCAUACACGAUGGUCUAGGUCUCCUACCCCAAGAGAACUUGCAACAAAGCCCAAAGUACAACAGCCACGUUUAAAGAGAAGAUUCCAUUUCAGCCAGACAACAUGAUUCAUCAUAUUUAUUUAAUAUUGUUAAUUUGAAUUUUAUUAGAUCUGUACUGAUGUUUGUAUUUAAUUUCUAAUUUGUUUUGGUUUCAUAAUUCACUAAAACAAUAAGCACAAAGAGUUUCUAUCUGAC
rnacentral:lncRNA from 10 species